rnacentral:rRNA from 1 species
AUUGAACGCUGGCGGCAGGCCUAACACAUGCAAGUCGAACGAGUGGCGGACGGGUGAGUAAUGUCUGGGAAACUGCCUGACGGAGGGGGAUAACUACUGGAAACGGUAGCUAAUACCGCAUACCAUCGGAUGUGCCCAGAUGGGACUAGUUAGUAGGUGGGGUAAAGGCGCACCUAGGCGACGAUCCCUAGCUGGUCUGAGAGGAUGACCAGCCACGCUGGAACUGAGACACGGUCCAGGCUCCUACGUGAGGCAGCAGUGGGGAAUAUUGCACAAGGGGCGCAAGCCUAAUGCAGCCAUGCCGCAUGUAUGAAGAAGGCCUUCGGGUUGUAAAGUACUUUCAGCGGGGAGGCGUUACCCGCAGAAGAAGCACCGGCUAACGCCGUGCCGGCAGCCGCGGUAAUAC